rnacentral:rRNA from 1 species
UCGCUCUUCAACGAGGAAUCCCUAGUAAGCAUGAGUCAUCAGCUCGUGCUGAUUACGUCCCUGCCCUUUGUACACACCGCCCGUCGCUACUACCGAUUGAAUGGCUUAGUGAGACCUUUGGAUUGGGGUUUAGGGAUCGGAAACGAUUCUUAUUCUCCGAAAAGUCGGUCAAACUUGGUCAUUUAGAGGAAGUAAAAGUCGUAACAAGGUUUCCGUAGGCGAACCUGCGGAAGGAUCAUUAAAAAUUUAUAUCCGGGAAUUCGUUUCGUUUUCCCGUGAUUAUUUGUAUUCAAAUCCCACUCUUUAUAAAUACAUUAAUUAUAUAAAACAAAAGUAAAAAAGAAAACUUUCAACAACGGAUCUCUUGGCUCUCGCAUCGAUGAAGAACGCAGCGAAAUGCGAUACGUAGUGUGAAUUGCAGAAUUCCGUGAAUCAUCGAAUCUUUGAACACAAAUUGUACUUUCCAGUAUUCUGGGAAGUAUGCUUGGUCGAGGGUCACUAAAAUAACAUUCGUGAAUUUUUUUGCGGAUUUGAGUUUUCCGGUAUUUAUAAUAUAAAAAUGUUGGUAACUUUAAAAUUAUUAUUACUUGGUACAAGUUGAAGACGUUCUAUAUGUGUGGUUCGCUGACAACUUGUCCAUCAUCAUAUACUAUGCGCGCACUUGGUUUUUUACGCUCUGUGCGAGUAUAUAUUUUUUUUAUGACCUCAGCUCAAGUAAGAAUACCCGCUGAACUUAAGCAUAUCAAUAAGCGGAGGAAAAGAAACUAACAAGGAUUCCCCUAGUAACGGCGAGUGAAGAGGGAAAAGCUCAAAUUUUAAAUCUACCUGGUUCCCAGGUCGAAUUGUAAUUUGAAGAAGCGAUAUCGGUGUGAAGGUCUGGUUCAAGUUCUUUGGAACAAGACAUCAUGGAGGGUGAGAAUCCCGUGCAUGAUCAGACCAAAAUACUUAAUAUUCGUUUUCUAAGAGUCGAGUUGUUUGGGAAUGCAGCUCAAAAUGGGAGGUAUAUUUCUCCUAAGGCUAAAUAUUGGCGAGAGACCGAUAGCGAACAAGUACCGUGAGGGAAAGAUGAAAAGAACUUUGAAAAGAGAGUUAAACAGUACGCGAAAUUGUUGAAAGGGAAACGAUUGAAGUCAGUCAUACCAACGGGAAAUCAACCUCUUGAGUUUGGUCUUGUGGGUUUCGAAGAGUUUAAAAACCUUCGGAUUUGCGAGGAUUGGGCUCUUCUGGUGUACUUUCUCGUACGGUUAGUCAACAUCGGUUUUGAAUGUCAUAAAAUGACUGGAGGAAUGUGGCUUCGAUCUCGUAUUGAAGUGUUAUAGCCUUUGGUAGAUGUGAUGUUUGAGACCGAGGAUUGCAACGGAUACCCUUCUGGGCUAUUCGUCUGAUCUCUGAUACGUUGCCUUGAUGUCGAAAGCUUGCUUAUGAUGUUAGGGUAUUACGGUCAAAAGGUUAGAACGGAUUAAAUUCGUUAAGGAUGUUGACGUAAUGACUUUAAACGACCCGUCUUGAAACACGGACCAAGGAGUCUAACAUAUGUGCGAGUGUUU